AUGGAAAUCAUGAUUAUUCAGGUAACUUAAACUUUAUUGGACACAAAAACAUGUUAGGAAAGAGAGAGAGAUAAAAGGAGAAAGAAGUGGUCCGGGAGGUGGUGCAGUGGCUAAGGGACUAGAUUCUCAAGCAUGAGGUCCUGAAUUCAAUCCCCGGUAGCACAUGUACCAGAGUGAUGUCUGGUUCUUUCUCUCUCCUAUCAUUUCUCAUGAAUAAAUAAAUAAAAUCUAAAAAAAAAAAAAGAAGAAGAAGAAGAAGAAAAGGGGACUGAGAACUGACUUACAGCCUUGAAGGUCACAAGUUAGUCUGGAAAAGAGCCUGAGCUCCAAAGGUUCACCCCUUUAAAGCCAGAGGCCCCACCUACACCUGCAGCCACUCCCAUUUCUGCCUUCUCUCCCUCAGUGUGACCAUGAAGACCACUAGGGGAAGCUCUCUCAUUCCGUGUUCCUGUGGUACCCAGGAGCAGUGAACUGGCACAUGUGACGUCUGGUUACGUGCUGCCACCUGUCCCUCAGUGCCAAAACCCAGGGAUGGGGCAGGUAGGGAGGGCGUCUGUCCAGCAGCGAGCUCCUUCAAAGCCUCAGGGAGAAGAGGUGCUCCUAGAGGCUGCCCCAGCACCCUCACCCACAGAAAAGGCCUGUCAGCUGUCACCCAGACCUGCUAUGAGCACUCUGCAUCUGCCACCCAGCAAGGAACAGAAGUGCUGACUGACACCUUUCCACAGGAUUAAGGCUGCGAACCAGCUUGAUGCAGAAGUUGAUCUCGCCAGCAAACCCUUUUCCAAGAAUAACAACAAUAACCAAACACAACAAAAAUGCAAGCAGGGCUCAGCAGACACCACAGCAGGAGAAGCUUCCAGAAAAAUGCAGGAAGUGUUUGUGUAAGGCUUUAGCCAGCUAACCAACACCCUCCUUCCCAUUCCCAGGCUCCCAGACUCCAAUCAGAGCUCGUCCCCAGGGGGCGGCUGUUGUCAGUGGAUUAAUCGACGGGGUGUCUGGUCCUGUCCAGACCUCUCUUGGCAUCUCUCCUGCUUCCUGCCUGGGCCUGAGCUUGGGCCAGGCUGGGUGUGUCCCAAGGGCCCAGGGCGGGAAGGCCCAGACCCAGGCAGCACCUGUGGGGUGGGGGGUGGGAGGUGGCUCUUCCUGUGUCCAGGCAGCUGGAUCUGCUCUCUACUUGCAGGUGACACCCCCCCAGGAGGACCCCUCCUUGACCACAGUGGGCAGUCUCGUGGUCUGGGGAGAUGCUCCCAGCUGCCCACUGCCCCUCCCAGACUCCCUGGUGGACUCGCACACCAAGCCUGUGUGGCUGCUGCCCCUGGCUCAGACACAGGAGAAGAUGUUGUGCUGGGAGAUGCACCCACAAGCCAAGGACGACUGGCAGAGGUUGGGACUGGGGGUGGGUAGCUCACUCCUGCUGGCCCUGUUGACCCCUCAGCCUCCUCGGAAACCAGAGGUGUUCAGCGUCUGGUGACGACAGCCCCAAGUUGCUUGGAUAAAUCCAGGGACCA